rnacentral:tRNA from 1 species
UCUAUUUUAGUUUAAUUAAAAACAAAACAUUUUCAAUGUUUAAAUAAAUAAAUAUAUUUUUAUGGGA